rnacentral:rRNA from 1 species
GAUGAACGCUGGCGGCGUGCCUAAUACAUGCAAGUCGAGCGAACAGACGAGGAGCUUGCUCCUCUGACGUUAGCGGCGGACGGGUGAGUAACACGUGGAUAACCUACCUAUAAGACUGGGAUAACUUCGGGAAACCGGAGCUAAUACCGGAUAAUAUAUUGAACCGCAUGGUUCAAUAGUGGAAGACGGUUUUGCUGUCACUUAUAGAUGGAUCCGCGCCGCAUUAGCUAGUUGGUAAGGUAACGGCUUACCAAGGCAACGAUGCGUAGCCGACCUGAGAGGGUGAUCGGCCACACUGGAACUGAGACACGGUACAGACUCCUACGGGAGGCAGCAGUAGGGAAUCUUCCGCAAUGGGCGAAAGACUGACGGAGCAACGCCGCGGGAUUGAUGAAGGUCUUCGGAUCGUAAAACUCUGUUAUUAGGGAAGAACAAAUGUGUAAGUAACUAUGCACGUCUUGACGGUACCUAAUCAGAAAGCCACGGCUAACUACGUG